CAUAAAUUAGAACGUAGCGCGAUUAAUUGCGUUGUCCGUAAUUCAUAUUUAAAUAAUGGGAUUAAUCCUCGGAUUAAUCAGAAUACCGUUUACUUAGGAUGUUUUUGAAAACGAAUAGAGUUCGCUCUACGAAAAGUUGGUUCAGCAGCGCAAUUGAAAUAAUUAACAACAAUGUGCGUUUUACGUUUGAUCAACUCGCAACUGAGACGACCAAUUUCUUCUGAAUCUAAAGUCGUACUCGAUAUGUAUGACCAUUGAGUAAAGUGUAGGUAAUUUAUUAUAUUCAAAUCAAUUGGUAUGACACAUAAUACAGUAGGUACCUACAUUCUAAUCAACUCGGCCGUGUUUCGUCGCAGCGAAUCAGUCGAAAGAUUUGUAAAUGUUUGUGUGGCCUUUCAAUUCGAUUUGAUGCAGCAACAAACAUGCAAUUUUGGAAGUCAAAGUUUCUUUUGACACCCUUUAUUAAACCAUAGACCCCAUUCGAGCAUAUACGUUUUGCACAGUGUAGCUGUAGAUUAUACAUAAGCUCAUAGUUUGUUGUACCGCUAAAGCGAGUUUCGCUCAACUGUUUAGUGUGUUACCACAGCACUAUGUAAAUUUGUAAAAGACAACGAUUCUUGGACGAAUAACUGUUAUUAUUAGUCGUAAAAAUAUAUCUGUGAAACAUU